rnacentral:lncRNA from 1 species
GAGCAAUCCUGUACCAAAAAAAUCAGAAUAUUCUAAAAAUGAAUAAUUGCUGGGGUGGAAGGAGUUUGUUUCCUGUCCCUGCUAAUUUUGCCCCCUCUAAUGCUUUGGAAGGGCUUCUUCGGGGCACCUGGGAGGUCGAUGUUCUCUGCCAAGGUGUGCACCGCCGCACCUGGCUUGAGGGACAUUUCCUGGCUGUGACUUUCUGUUUGAGCCGUAGCACGAAUGCCUGAGUGUUUCAUCCUGCACUUCUCCUGCUUGUGGGCUGGCAGAGGAUGGAAGAGCGUGCUCAAUUGUUCAGCUCUGCUUUCAUCCCCAAGUUGCUUAAUUGGCUGCAGACCAUGGGAAAAGGAUCAACAUGUGUAUGGGGAAGAGCUGAAAGUAGAGACUGCUUGGCGGAGAACAGCAGUCUGCAAAGUGAAUUGCUUGAUCAGCUGGAUAAAAAGGAAGGAGAGGCAAGCACACAAAGCUGAUCAGCUUAUUGGGUAAUGAUGGACCAGCAGAGCCUGGUGGGCUGCUCAGGUGUACUUGUAUUUCUGCAAAAAAGAUGGAGCAGGAAAAAAAAAUUCUGCCAGCUGCAAAGUAAAAACAGGUUAAAAAGUAGGAGGUGAACGUAAGAAGGAGCUGGCCUGUCAGAGAUGAAUGUCUACCCUGCUCACCUGUUCUUCGGGAAACCUUUGCAGCGAGGACCCUGAUGUGCUGGCAUGUGCGUGUCAUGGCCAAGCAGAGCUGGGAGGAUCAUGGCCUCGCUUUAGCCAUUUUGCUCAUCGAUACAUCCAUGUGUGCACUGAUUUUCUUUUCUUCGGUCUGUGUUGCUCUUUGAGGUUUCUCUCAUCUUGUUUCUCUCAUCAGGGGUUUUUCAUCUUGUCGUUGUUUGUUGGGGGGUUGUUUCACUAGGCUCUGAAAUGCCUGGUAUAAGGGCAUGUUAGAUGUGGAUGGACAGUGGACGUCCCGGGGUUUAUAUGGGCUGGGGCCUCUGGCUAUGAGAGAAGAUGAAUAAACUUUCCUUUUAGGUAGUUUAGCCUUUAAUU